CCUACGGGAGACAGCAGUGGGGAAUAUUGGGCAAUGGAGGAAACUCUGACGCAGCAACGCCGCGUGAAUGAUGAAGGUCUUCGGAUUGUAAAGUUCUUUUCUAAGGGAAGAAGAAAGUGACGGUACCAUAAGAAUAAGCAUCGGCUAACUACGUGCCAGCAGCCGCGGUAAUAAGUAGGAGGCGAGCGUUAUCCGGAAUGACGGGGGGUAAAGGGUGCGGAGGUGGUUUGGCAAGUUAGUAGCGUAACUCCAAGGCUCAACCUUGGAACUACUACUAAAACUGUUGGACUUGAGUGCAGGAGGGGCAACCGGAAUUCCUAGUGUAGCAGUGGAAUGCGUAGAUAUUAGGAGGAACACCAGUGGCGAAGGCGGGUUGCUGGACUGUAACUGACACUGAGGCACGAAGGCGUGGGGAGCAAACAGGAUUAGAUACCCGAGUAGUC
rnacentral:rRNA from 1 species